GCUGGUUUGUCGUUGGUUUUUGCAGUGCUGGAGAUCGAACCCAGGACCUUGACUAUUUUAGGCAAGCGCUGCACCACGGAGUUGCACCCCCAGCCUGGCUCCCAGUUUUAAUAGGCGAGGAGAGCUGAAUCAGAAAUAGAGACUCAGGUUUUAUUUCUGCCUCACACAGGAUCUUGCAGGGUGACCUUGGGCCGGACUCCCAGCUUUAGUUUUGUUGGUUCUGAAAUGGCAGCAGCAGUCUCUGCCUGACUCUCCUGUUCCUCACAGUAGGACAUGGGACAGAAGACCAGGCCACCAGGCUCUCUGCAGCCCCAGGAUCUCCCUCUGGCCCGGGAAGCAUGACCUGUACGUCCAGACCCACACUCAAUCUAUCCCUGCUGCCCCGGUGGUGCAAGGGAAUUCUUUUGUUCAUGAACAAGGAUCACAGCAACCAGAUGAUGUCAUGAAGGAAACAGAUUCUGUCUUUUCCCCUGCCAUCCUGUGAACAUAUCCUCACCCUUGGGGCCUCAUGGUGCCAGGAUGGCUGCUAUACCAGUA
rnacentral:lncRNA from 1 species